UGGGGGAAGGUGUGGUGGACUUGGACAAAAUGGGUCCCCUCUGCCAGCCCUAGCGUUCUAAGGUGCCCUUUAGGAGAUAAAAACACCCCAAGCCCCAGGCCCUGGGCAGAGGCAGGCAUUGGGGCUGUAGAACAGGACUGCCAUCACCGGUUCCAGGAAGGAGGGCUUGCUUGGAAUAAAGACAUGCAAGAUGGAAGCCCAGAAGCCUGAGGAGCAGGCAACGUAGCCUUUAUGUCCAGCUGAAUGGCCAGCGGGCUCCUCGGAGCCGCCCAUCAGAGCUGAAGAUCAUCUGGGGCUGGAGCUGGCGGUAGUCCUGUGGUCACUCUGGGGACCCCGGGAAGGACAGCCGUGCUUCCUGCGAGAGGCGACUCUAGACUCACCCAGGCCUGUGUCCCAUGUGAAGACACACAGGGGUGGGGAGGGGGCGCACUGCAGCACUUGAAGGGCCAUCUCUCCCUUUCUUUAACUGCUGUUGUGAAACACUGGAGCCAAGCUCCUGCAUUCUAACACCUUCAGUUCUGGUCUUUAGGAAUGAACCCAUGGCAACCUCUGUUGUGAAAAGGACAGGCUCUGCAGUUCAAUAGACUUGGGCUUGAAUCCCAGGGCCACCCCUCCUGCCUUCGCCUCAGCUUCCUUAUCUACUUGGUGGGGAUGAUCAAACC